CCUCCUUCCUCCAAUGUGCAUGGGGGUGGGCAGGCAGGCAGCUGGGCGGGUUGUUUGCGGGUGGACACGUCCAACAUGAUGGCUUAAGUUUUCAAGUUGCACUUAAGUCCCUUUUGCAGACCAUCAGCAUGCCUCUCAGCACACAGUUUGGGAAUCACAGUUCUAGUCUUAACAUCUCACUUUGAAAUGAGACAUCUUAUACCAAAUCCCCAAUAGAUGCCUGACCAGCUUUUUCAUCAAAACCUCUACAAGAAAGGAGAUUCUACAAUCUUUCUAGACAUGUAGGCUGACAUGAAGAAAAUUGCUCAGAGUAGUCCCACUGAAAUUGAAAGGAAUGCCUAACUUUUCAAUGGGACUACUUUGUGUAAUUUUCCUCAUCAUGUCAGCCGGUAUUUCAUGGAUCCUACACCACUCCCUGUUGUGUCUGGAUAUUAACAGGUUUUCUCAAAAAACAUAUUUGCACACACUCCCAACUUUUCUUCUAGGCUUAAAUAUGUACCAUUCAGGUUUUCCAGGUUUUCUUUCGGGUUUUCUGUGUCAUCUCCUUACAUCUCCCUGUUUUUAACCUAGAGAUGUACAUAUCUCUAGGUAUCAAAAUAUGGUAUAAAAAUAUAAUACAUAAACAUUCCAAAUUUCUGCAAAAAAAUGCAUGUCCCCAAAUAAAGUUUGCAAUGCAUUUUAAUCAAUCAUUCUUGUCAUAUACAUAUAGUCUCAACAACUGAUUUUUGCAAAGUAACAUAGGCAAAAUCAGGCCAUUACCUCCAAGUCCCUACAAUCUAAAUUAUGGUAUGGGGUAGGUGAGAAGCAAACAUAAUGAAAGAUGAAUGCAAUCAGAUGCCUGCAGGUGUAUGACAUGGUUUUAUUUUUUUAUUGUGAACUGUCCUCAGCCAUUUUUGAAGGGGCAGUAUAUAAAUAAAAUUAAAUAUGCAGCUAAUUUUCAUUUAAUUUAGGAAUGGACUGGGACUAAGGAAUUAAGUCCAAGCUUUUCAGAAGAGGUGAUGUGUAGGGCUAUUUGAGCGACCACGUUGUAGUGAUGGAGCACCUGCUUUGCAUGCAAAAGGUCUCAAAUUCAAUCCCUGGUAGAGCUGGGAAAGACUGAAACCCUAGAGAGAGAGAGCUGCUGCCAGUCAGUGUAGAAAAUACUGAGCUAGAUGGACUAGCAGUCUGACUCGGUAUAAGGCAGUUUCGUGUGGGAUGGAGGAGGACAUUGAGGGGAGGAGAGAGAGGUGGCAGCGCCACAAAGCUGUUCAGGGAGACAAUUUGAGUCAUAAGAGAUAGCAAGGGAAUAAAUCCAUGCUGCAUAGUUGCUGUACAUCUGAACAGGUGCUCAGACCGCGCUGAGUCUAAUCCAGCCAUUUUAGAAGCCCAGUGGAAGCCUUUGGCAAUGCGCAGCACUGAAAUGGGGAUCCCCUCCUCCCUUUCCCACUGGGAGGCGGGGUCUCGGAAUCGCAGCUUCUUGAUUCACCCUAUUGGCGGUUUCCAAGCACUGGGAGUGUCAUGUGAUGCAAACACUACAUUCUGUUCCAGCAGCCAGGCAGAUGAGCUUACAUGAUGGAAAAGAAAAGAGAAGCCUCGGGGAAAGCAGGUGGUGAGAUCUUGAUAACCUGAAUCCUCUUCAGCUGAGCUGUACAACUGCCAAGAGGAAGGGCUGGAGCAGACUCACUUCCUUCACCAAGAACUAAUUUGAGAACAAGCAACAGGAUCCCAUGAGCGGGAAGGUCCAGCACCCAUGCAGCCAAUGCAGGCCUUGGCACAGUCUGGAGAGAAAGGAAGAAGCAGGAUUAAAGGACAAGUACAAAGAC